rnacentral:rRNA from 12 species
GUGUAAGCGUUAAGGAAGGAUGCGAGUCAAAUGCUUGUAGCCAAUUUUGAGACGUGAUGCGGAGUGAAAUCAAAGUAGCGAAGGUCAUGAAGUCACACUGCCAAGAAAAGCUUCUAGCCAGAGAGCGAGUACCCGUACCGCAAACCGACACAGGUGGGUGAGUCGAAUAGACUAAGGCGCGCGAGAGAAACCACUCUAAGGAACUCGGCAAAAUAGCCCCGUAACUUCGGGAGAAGGGGUGCCUACUUCGGUAGGCCGCAGAGAAAUGACCCAGGCGACUGUUUAUCAAAAACAUAGGGCUAUGCUAAAUCGCAAGAUGAUGUAUAUGGCCUGACACCUGCCCGGUGCUGGAAGGUUAAGGGGGGAUGUUAGCCGCAAGGCGAAGCAUUGAACUGAAGCCCCAGUAAACGGCGGCCGUAACAAUAACGGUCC